GGGGGAAGUUGCUUCGGUAACUGACCUAGCGGCGGACGGGUGAGUAAUACUUAGGAAUCUGCCUAUUAAUGGGGGACAACAUCUCGAAAGGGAUGCUAAUACCGCAUACGCCCUACGGGGGAAAGCAGGGGAUCACUUGUGACCUUGCGUUAAUAGAUGAGCCUAAGUCGGAUUAGCUAGUUGGUGGGGUAAAGGCCUACCAAGGCGACGAUCUGUAGCGGGUCUGAGAGGAUGAUCCGCCACACUGGGACUGAGACACGGCCCAGACUCCUACGGGAGGCAGCAGUGGGGAAUAUUGGACAAUGGGGGGAACCCUGAUCCAGCCAUGCCGCGUGUGUGAAGAAGGCCUUAUGGUUGUAAAGCACUUUAAGCGAGGAGGAGGCUCUCUUGGUUAAUACCCAAGAUGAGUGGACGUUACUCGCAGAAUAAGCACCGGCUAACUCUGUGCCAGCAGCCGCGGUAAUACAGAGGGUGCGAGCGUUAAUCGGAUUUACUGGGCGUAAAGCGUGCGUAGGCGGCUUUUUAAGUCGGAUGUGAAAUCCCCGAGCUUAACUUGGGAAUUGCAUUCGAUACUGGGAAGCUAGAGUAUGGGAGAGGAUGGUAGAAUUCCAGGUGUAGCGGUGAAAUGCGUAGAGAUCUGGAGGAAUACCGAUGGCGAAGGCAGCCAUCUGGCCUAAUACUGACGCUGAGGUACGAAAGCAUGGGGAGCAAACAGGAUUAGAUACCCUGGUAGUCCAUGCCGUAAACGAUGUCUACUAGCCGUUGGGGCCUUUGAGGCUUUAGUGGCGCAGCUAACGCGA
rnacentral:rRNA from 1 species